UGGUUCUGGCAUCGAUGAAGAACGCAGCGAAAUGCGAUAAGUAAUGUGAACUGCAGAAUUCAGUGAAUCAUCGAAUCUUUGAACGCACAUUGCGCUCGCUAGUAUUCUGGCGAGCAUGCCUGUUCGAGCGUCAUUUCAACCCCUCAAGCCUCUUUAUUAUAAAAAGCUUGGUGUUAGGCCUUAUAGAUUCCUUUUUUUUUGAAGGAAAUUUAUACACCUGAAAUUCAUCGGCGAACCCCUCUGCGAGGCCGAGCGUAGUAGAUUUCUCUCGCUAUGACUUCCAGUGGUGGACCUGCCCCAUCUUAAUUUUAUAUAAAAAGGUUGACCUCGAAUCAGGUAGGAAUACCCGCUGA
rnacentral:misc_RNA from 1 species